rnacentral:rRNA from 1 species
CCUACGGGUGGCAACAGUGAGGAAUAUUGGUCAAUGGACGAGAGUCUGAACCAGCCAAGUAGCGUGAAGGAUGAAUGCCCUAUGGGUUGUAAACUUCUUUUAUAAAGGAAUAAAACGAGGCACGUGUGCCUUUUUGCAUGUACUUUAUGAAUAAGGAUCGGCUAACUCCGUGCCAGCAGCCGCGGUAAUACGGAGGAUCCGAGCGUUAUCCGGAUUUAUUGGGUUUAAAGGGCGCGUAGAUGGGUUGUUAAGUCAGUUGUGAAAGUUUGCGGCUCAACCGUAAAAUUGCAAUUGAUACUGGCAGUCUUGAGUACAGUUGAGGUAGGCGGAAUUCGUGGUGUAGCGGUGAAAUGCUUAGAUAUCACGAAGAACCCCGAUUGCGAAGGCAGCUUACUAAGCUGUGACUGACAUUGAUGCUCGAAAGUGUGGGUAUCGAACAGGAUUAGAUACCCUUGUAGUC